rnacentral:rRNA from 1 species
CCUACGGGGUGCAGCAGUGGGGAAUAUUGGGCAAUGGGCGAAAGCCUGACCCAGCAACGCCGCGUGAAGGAAGAAGGCUUUCGGGUUGUAAACUCCUUUUGACAGGGAAGAGCAGAAGACGGUACCUGCCGAAUAAGCAACGGCUAACUACGUGCCAGCAGCCGCGGUAAUACGGGGGUGGCAAGCGGUGACCGGAUUUACUGGGGGUAAAGGGAGUGUAGCGGGGCUGACAAGGCAGGUGUGAAAAUCGGGGGGUCAACCCCCGAACUGCAUUUGAAACUGGUGGUCUUGAGUAUCGGAGAAGCAGGCGGAAUUCCUGGUGUAGCGGUGAAAUGCGUAGAUAUUAGGAAGAACACCAGUGGCGAAGGCGGCCUGCUGGACGACAACUGACGGUGAGGCACGAAAGCGUGGGGAGCAAACAGGAUUAGAUACCCGAGUAGUC